AUAAAGUUUCUUUGGAUACAAACUUAAAAGAGCCUUUUUUUUUCUUUGUUAGGAUGAAUAUGAUGUUUAUGUAGGUGAGUUUUAUUGAGGUUGUUUGGAUCUCUUCCAAAGUGUUAAUGCCUAUGUUUAUUUCUAGUAUCAAGGCUGUCUGAUUGCUUGUUUCUUCCACUAGAUGUCACAAGAAGGUUCACUGUAUUUACUUCCUUUACUUUUAGAUUUCAAGUAGCCUCAACUUUGUAAAUGAAGAAAUGAUGAUGCAUUUGUGCUGAUAGUUGGCGAAUUUAUGAU
rnacentral:misc_RNA from 1 species